CUUAAGAGUGGUUUAGAUGGCAUUCAAUUCUUAAGUUUAGGAAACCAAAACUGGAGACUCGAUAUUGCUGUAGAAGUUAAAUUUCUGGGCAAUUUCUGAAACAGAAGUGGGUUAACUUUCCUCAGCUUUUGAAAUUUGCCGUUUACUGUGAUGCACAUACAGUGAAGAAGCAAUAUCGAUGGAAGCAGCUGUUAUAAAAUCCAGCAGCAGGUAAUGGUUUGCUUUAGAAGCUUAACUUGUGAAUUUUUGCUCAAUGGCAAUGUUAGAAUUCUCCCCAAAACUCUGCAGUGACCAUGGC
rnacentral:misc_RNA from 1 species